rnacentral:lncRNA from 1 species
CGGAUAACGAAGAGAUCGCCGUCUCCCUGGGGAUGAUCAGGAGACAACGCAGCAGCAGCAGCAGAGGGAAGCUGCAAUAAUCCUGCCAUGCAAACUCAGCAGCACAUGUUCCCAGCCCUCUAUAUUUACACAUACGCCUACUAAAAUUUUAUCAGCAACGAUGUACUAGUAUUGUUAUGUUUCCAGAGCAAACUCAGCAGCAGAGGUUUAUUUAGAUCAGCUGAAGAGGCUAAUAUACCUUUUUUUUUUGCGGGUAGAGGCUAAUAUACUGUGAACUGCAUAUUUGGAGAGUGAUGGUCCAUCAUUCAGGGAAAAGUCAGACAUCUGCAAGUUCAUGAUUGUGGACUUUACACAGAGAAGAGAGCCUGCCUACUAUUCAUAUAUGCAAAUAAUAACGCAGUGAUGGAACUGCAAAUUAAGUCGUACCGAAGCUAAAAAACUGGGGUUUUAAUGAACAUGACAGGUAUAUGGUGCCACGAACAGGGAAUUGGAGUCGGUUCAACUACAUGGAUAACCAGAAUGAGCAGCUAUGACAAGAUAGUGCAGAUCUAGCGAGACAUUCUAGUUCCCAAAGAGCAGCAGCAAAGGGGAAGUUCCGCAGUAACAAUGGAGAACCAGCUCAAAUUUCCUGACAGUCAAGUGCGCUGCACAAACACAUGGUAACUACAGCAGCAGCCUUUGUUCCAUGCCCAACAUUUUUGCUCUUGUACGCUCCAUGGUCCUCUUCUCUUAAUUGUGCACAAUAAACAUUUCCCUUUUUUUGUGGAGAUAUUUAUCCACAUCCAACUUCCAUUUU